GACGAACGCUGGCGGCGUGCCUAAUACAUGCAAGUCGAACGCAGUGGGGACGGGUGAGUAACACUUGGUUAACCUCCCCAUCAGCUGGGAUAACACUUGGUAACAGGUGCUAAACCGAUACUGAUGGAUGGACCCGCGGUGCAUUAGCGAGUUGGUGAGGUAACGGCUCACAAAGGCCACGACGCAUAGCCGACCGUAGAGGGUGAUCGGCCACACGGGAACUGAGACACGGCCCAGACUCCUACGGGAGGCAGUAGUAGGGAAUCUUCGGCAAUGGACGAAAGUCUGACCGAGCAACGCCGCGUGAGUGAAGAAGGUUUUCGGAUCGUAAAACGCUGUUGUUAGAGAAGCGGUAUCUAACCAGAAAGCCACGGCUAACUACGUGCCAGCAGCCGCGGUAAUUC
rnacentral:rRNA from 1 species